UACGGAGGGGGCAAGCGUUGUCCGGACUUACUGGGCGUAAAGGGUGCGUAGGCGGCCUGCUGCGUCGGUGCUGAAAGCGCCCGGCUUAACCGGGCGAGGCGUGCCGAUACGAGCGGGCUGGAGCCUUGGCGAGGGUGGCGGAACUCCUGGUGUAGUGGUGAAAUGCGUAGAGAUCAGGAAGAACACCCGUGGCGCAAGCGGCCACCUGGCCCAAGAGCUGACGCUGAGGCACGAGAGCGUGGGGAGCGAACCGG
rnacentral:rRNA from 1 species